GAUGAACGCUGGCGGCGUGCCUAAUACAUGCAAGUCGAGCGAACAGACGAGGAGCUUGUUCCUCGGACGGUAGCGGCGGACGGGUGAGUAACACGUGGAUAACCUACCUAUAAGACUGGGAUAAUAUCGGGAAACCGGAGCUAAUACCGGAGAAUAUAUUGAACCGCAUGGUUCAAUAGUGAAAGACGGUUUUGGUGUCAGUUAUAGAUGGAUCCGCGCCGCAUUAGCUAGUUGGUAAGGUAACGGCUUACCAAGGCAACGAUGCGUAGCCGCCCUGAGAGGGGGAUCGGCCACACUGGAACUGCGCCACGGUCCAGACUCCUACGGGAGGCAGCAGUAGGGAAUCUUCCGCAAUGGGCGGAAGCCUGACGGAGCAACGCCGCGUGGGUGAUGAAGGUCUUCUGAUCGUAAAGCUCUGUUAUUGGGAAAGAACCAAUGUGGACGUAUCUAUGCACGUCUUGACGGUACCUGAUCAAAAAGCCCCGGCUAACUACGUG
rnacentral:rRNA from 1 species